rnacentral:lncRNA from 7 species
CGGAGUCCCAGGCCCUUUUCGAUGGCGGCAGUGGCCGGGGGUCCCCUGUAAGCAGGGAAGCUGACUCUUUGGCUGCUGCUUUUUGUGUGCCCAGCCCCAUUUGCCCAGUCUGCCCGCCUCUGUGAUCCCCCGCAGCACUGGCUGGAAGUCCGCCGCGUGUCAGUGAGGAGCUGCUGCAGAAGGAAGAAGAAGAAGCGGCGUGGGGACCUGGGAGGCAGGAGCAAGCAAGAAGAGGAAGCGGAAGCGUGCAGAUGCGGGGGGGAAGGAGAGAGGCUCCCUGGGCAAAGCACCUGUCCCGUUAGCAGGGGCACAGUCACGUUUGAGUUGAGAGCUGCCGGCGCCUUUGGUGACCAGGCUGGCGUUGUGCUGGGCGACCUCCCCGUAAGCGGGGCUCGGGUCUUUGCUGUAGUUGGCCUUUUGCCUUGCUGCUCCUUUGGCUGCCUGGGGAGCGUGGCCCCCUGUAACGGAGGGCGAGAGCCACCUCUCCGCACCUGAGUGGGAAAUGGAGCUCGCCGGACCCCGAGGCCACCCUGUAAGCAGGGUAGUGCCGUUUCCCUGCCCCUCUGUCCUCCCGGCCCCUCGG